GCGGUUAGCUCAAUCGGUAGAGCGUAAGACUCUUAUCACCAGAGAUCAGAUCUUAAGGCCGCGGGUUCGAGUAAGUCGCUGGGAAUG